AUUGAACGCUGGCGGCAGGCCUAACACAUGCAAGUCGAGCGAGCGGCGGACGGGUGAGUAAUGCCUAGGAAUCUGCCUGGUAGUGGGGGAUAACGUCCGGAAACGGGCGCUAAUACCGCAUACUAUCAGAUGAGCCUAGGUCGGAUUAGCUAGUAGGUGGGGUAACGGCUCACCUAGGCGACGAUCCCUAGCUGGUCUGAGAGGAUGACCAGCCACAUUGGAACUGAGACACGGUCCAGACUCCUACGGUGGGCAGCAGUGGGGAAUAUUGCACAAUGGGCGCAAGCCUGAUGCAGCAAUGCCGCGUGUGUGAAGAAGGCCUUCGGGUUGUAAAGCACUUUCAGCGGGUAGGCGUUACCCGCAGAAGAAGCACCGGCUAACUCCGUGCCAGCAGCCGCGGUAAUUC
rnacentral:rRNA from 1 species